AAAAUGCAUUACGGGUGUUCACUUGUCCUCGCUCUUCUACCUGGGUAGUCUGAGCAGACAUUUGAUCUGAGAUCAUACCGUUGGAACCUGAACAGGGUAAAUCCUGCGAUAGGGACAAUGCAAUCCUCCUUCA
rnacentral:ncRNA from 2 species